CAAAGAAACAGGAAACCAGUAACAUCAACAUCCGUCUGCCAUCUCCCGUGAGACUUCCAAUAGUCUGGAAUGUAAACAGAAUCUUGUGACUCCAAGCACUGCACAGUGGCAUAACAGAAACCUAACAUUAGGGCAGUUCAUGCAAAGUGGAUCAAAUUUCUCUCCCCUCCCCAUCUUUUGUCCUGCCACCUCCAGACAUGGUUCUCCAAAAUAUUUCUCUGCCUCUGUUAGUCCUACAGGACCUUUCCCUGACAUACAGCUUCAUUGGAUGCUCGUGAGUGCUAGUCUUAUGAGAGGAGGGGAGAGACACGGCUUCCCCGAGCUGGUGUUCCCCAUCAAGGACGCCAGAGCCCUCCUCCCAGCUGAAAGCACUCCUUCUUCAAGCAGGAGUCGAAGAAGUCAGGGGAUUCUCCAUCUGCAUCUUUUCUUUCCUUUGAAAUCCAGCAAGUCCUCUUGGAGUGACACCAGCUGUUGUGGCAAUUCCACAAGGCAUCUGCUCAUGAACUGACAGGUUCUCUGCUCAAGUGGUUUAUUAUGUAAAUGUUGCUCACCAUAAAAAUCAAUGCUGUGGGUGGUUUUUUUUUUUUUUUUUGCUAAGUGGCCAAUAUUUAUUUGGCUCAAGUGUUGUUUAAUUUGAUGCAUUUAUUAGGGGACAGUCAAAUGCCCGAGCUGGUCCUUAAGCUGCUUCGUACUGCUCCCUCCAUGCCUUGAAGCCUCCUGUGCUUUUGUCCCCGUGCAUAACUCAAGGACGGGAGUAAUUGAUAUGAAACUUUUAGAAAUUAAUUUUGCUGCAUCUACCCCUAAGAGGGAGUGAGAGACUGUGGGAUCAUUUAUAACAUCACAGUUAUUGGCCCUGACAAAACAAUACCUUAAAAACGCAGCAAAGUAAAUUAUGGCGCACGCAAAUGGCUCGGGCCAGCCAUGGCCCUGAAUUGGACGAUGGCCAGGCAAGCGAAAACAAAGUAAAUAUGCUUUUGAUAUUAAUAACACAGACAAUAUUGAUCCACCAGCCAGUGUCACUUGUCUGCUCCGCGAGGAGAUUGCUUCAGGCAUUUUGCCCCCCACCCUCGGGGAGCCUCCCUCCUUGCAGGCCAUUUAAUUCCGCCAGUCUCUAAUUGUAUCAGACAAACCCAAGUCAAAGGAAGGGACCCCUGUUUGCCAAGGUGGGCUGUUAGUCAGAAAGUUGUCAGAAACAAAGAUAACUCAAUUCCUGGGUCUCGGACGCCGUUGUCUUUCUAAAUGUUUAUCAGAUCAACAUCUCCUUUGGCUCGGAGCCUGCUGUGACUGGGGGGAUGUGAACUCCAAUUACAGUGCCAUAAUUUUUAAAAGGACCGGAGCAAAUGCUUUUUGUAUAAUAAAGUAAUAACUCCAAGA